AGUCGAGGGGUUAGGUUUUCGGACCUAGAGACCGGCGCACGGGUGCGUAACGCGUAUGCAAUCUACCUUUUACAGAGGGAUAGCCCAGAGAAAUUUGGAUUAAUACCUCAUAGUAUUAUUGAAUGGCAUCAUUUAAUAAUUAAAGUCACAACGGUAAAAGAUGAGCAUGCGUCCCAUUAGCUUGUUGGUAAGGUAACGGCUUACCAAGGCAACGAUGGGUAGGGGUCCUGAGAGGGAGAUCCCCCACACUGGUACUGAGACACGGACCAGACUCCUACGGGAGGCAGCAGUGAGGAAUAUUGGUCAAUGGGCGCAAGCCUGAACCAGCCAUGCCGCGUGCAGGAUGAAGCAUCUAUGGUGUGUAAACUGCUUUUGUACGAGAAGAAACACUCCUUCGUGAAGGAGCUUGACGGUAUCGUAAGAAUAAGGACCGGCUAACUCCGUGCCAGCAGCCGCGGUAAUACGGAGGGUCCAAGCGUUAUCCGGAAUCAUUGGGUUUAAAGGGUCCGUAGGCGGUUUUGUAAGUCAGUGGUGAAAGCCCAUCGCUCAACGGUGGAACGGCCAUUGAUACUGCAAGACUUGAAUUAUUAGGAAGUAACUAGAAUAUGUAGUGUAGCGGUGAAAUGCUUAGAGAUUACAUGGAAUACCAAUUGCGAAGGCAGGUUACUACUAAUGGAUUGACGCUGAUGGACGAAAGCGUGGGUAGCGAACAGGACUAGAUACCCUGGUAGUCCACGCCGUANACGAUGGAUACUAGCUGUUCGGAGCAAUCUGAGUGGCUAAGCGAAAGUGAUAAGUAUCCCACCUGGGGAGUACGUUCGCAAGAAUGAAACUCAAAGGAAUUGACGGGGGCCCGCACAAGCGGUGG
rnacentral:rRNA from 1 species